rnacentral:rRNA from 1 species
GGGAAACCCACUAGGUCCAGGCAUAUGUAGGAUUGGCAGACUGAUAGCUCAUUCUGAAUUCUAUGGGCGGUGGUGCAUGGUCGUUCUCGGUUGGUGGAGUGAUUUGUCUGGUUAUUUCCGUUAGCAGAACGAUACCUUGACCUGCUAAAUAGUUUCCUGAACCUCGGUUCGUCGGCUUACUUCUUAGAGGGAGUUUGAGGCAAUAA